GGGCAAACAAUAUAAUAAUAAUAGAUAUUAAAUUAAAGAGUUAAUUGCAUAUAGAUCACCGCAAAUAUAAUGAAUUGCAAAUAUAUCCCUUUAAAGUUCAACUUUCAUAAGUUAUUCCUGCAAAAAUUCUAAUAUUUUCAAAUAUAUCCCUCUGGUUUAUUACCGUUAGAGAACCAUUAGAACACUGUUUAUUUUUUCAAUUUUGUCAUCACAAAUAUGUCCCUUCAAAAGUUAUAACAGUAUAAAAUAAAAGGGAUAAAAAUGUUAAAAUGAAUUAAAAUAAAGUAUUUAACCUAUGGUUAACUAAACUUUUCUAACGGAUUCUAACGGCAAGAAUAUAUCUGAAAAUAUUAAGACUUUUGCAGGAAUAACUUAUAAAAGUUAAACUUUACAGGGAUAUAUUUACAAUUUACUAUAUUUACGGGGACCUAUAUGCAAUUAACCCUAAAUUAAAUAUC
rnacentral:lncRNA from 1 species